rnacentral:rRNA from 1 species
AUUGAACGCUGGCGGCAGGCUUAACACAUGCAAGUCGAGCGGAGAGAGGUAGCUUGCUACUGAUCUUAGCGGCGGACGGGUGAGUAAUGCUUAGGAAUCUGCCUAUUAGUGGGGGAUAACAUUUCGAAAGGAAUGCUAAUACCGCAUACGUCCUACGGGAGAAAGUGGGGGAUCUUCGGACCUCACGCUAUCAGAUGAGCCUAGGUCGGAUUAGCUAGUUGGUGAGGUAAAGGCUCACCAAGGCGACGAUCCGUAACAGGUCUGAGAGGAUGAUCAGUCACACUGGAACUGAGACACGGUCCAGACUCCUACGGGAGGCAGCAGUGGGGAAUAUUGGACAAUGGGCGAAAGCCUGAUCCAGCCAUGCUGCGUGUGUGAAGAAGGUCUUCGGAUUGUAAAGCACUUUAAGUUGGGAGGAAGGGCAGUAAGUUAAUACCUUGCUGUUUUGACGUUACCAACAGAAUAAGCACCGGCUAACUUCGUGCCAGCCGCCGCCGUAAUAC